GACGAACGCUGGCGGCGUGCUUAGCACAUGCAAGUCGAACGGAAAGGCCCUGCUUUUGUGGGGUGCUCGAGUGGCGAACGGGUGAGUAACACGUGAGUAACCUGCCCUUGACUUUGGGAUAACUUCAGGAAACUGGGGCUAAUACCGGAUAGGAGCUCCUGCUGCAUGGUGGGGGUUGGAAAGUUUCGGCGGUUGGGGAUGGACUCGCGGGUUAUCAGCUUGUUGGUGGGGUAGUGGCUUACCAAGGCUUUGACGGGUAGCCGGCCUGAGAGGGUGACCGGCCACAUUGGGACUGAGAUACGGCCCAGACUCCUACGGGAGGCAGCAGUGGGGAAUAUUGCACAAUGGGCGGGAGCCUGAUGCAGCAACGCCGCGUGCGGGAUGACGGCCUUCGGGUUGUAAACCGCUUUCGCCUGUGACGAAGCGUGAGUGACGGUAAUGGGUAAAGAAGCACCGGCUAACUACGUG
rnacentral:rRNA from 1 species